rnacentral:rRNA from 1 species
UACGUAGGGGGCAAGCGUUGUCCGGAUUUAUUGGGCGUAAAGAGCGUGUAGGCGGCCAGACAGGUCAGCUGUGAAAACUCGAGGCUCAACCUCGAGACGUCGGUUGAAACCGUCUGGCUAGAGUCCGGAAGAGGAGAGUGGAAUUCCCGGUGUAGCGGUGAAAUGCGCAGAUAUCGGGAAGAACACCCGUGGCGAAGGCGGCUCUCUGGGACGGUACUGACGCUGAUACGCGAAAGCGUGGGGAGCGAACAGG